CGCGGCCUAUCAGCUUGUUGGUGGGGUAAUGGCCUACCAAGGCGACGACGGGUAGCCGGCCUGAGAGGGCGACCGGCCACACUGGGACUGAGACACGGCCCAGACUCCUACGGGAGGCAGCAGUGGGGAAUAUUGCACAAUGGGCGGAAGCCUGAUGCAGCGACGCCGCGUGAGGGAUGACGGCCUUCGGGUUGUAAACCUCUUUCACCCAUGACGAAGCGCAAGUGACGGUAGUGGGAGAAGAAGCGCCGGCCAACUACGUGCCAGCAGCCGCGGUAAGACGUAGGGCGCGAGCGUUGUCCGGAAUUAUUGGGCGUAAAGAGCUCGUAGGCGGCUUGUCGCGUCGGCUGUGAAAUCCCGUGGCUCAACUGCGGGUCUGCAGCCGAUACGGGCAGGCUAGAGUUCGGUAGGGGAGACUGGAAUUCCUGGUGUAGCGGUGAAAUGCGCAGAUAUCAGGAGGAACGCCGAUGGCGAAGGCAGGUCUCUGGGCCGAUACUGACGCUGAGGAGCGAAAGCGUGGGGAGCGAACAGGAUUAGAUACCCUGGUAGUCCACGCUGUAAACGUUGGGCGCUAGGUGUGGGGGACCUCUCCGGUUCUCUGUGCCGCAGCUAACGCAUUAAGCGCCCCGCCUGGGGAGUACGG
rnacentral:rRNA from 1 species